GCCUCUGUGGUGCAAUGGGUCAAUGUGUCUGGAUGUUAACCAGAGGUUGAUGGUUCAGACCCACCCAGGGGUG